UAGAGAUGUGGAGGAACACCAGUGGCGAAGGCGACUCUCUGGUCUGUAACUGACGCUGAGGAGCGAAAGCGUGGGGAGCGAACAGGAUUAGAUACCCUGGUAGUCCACGCCGUAAACGAUGAGUGCUAAGUGUUAGGGGGUUUCCGCCCCUUAGUGCUGCAGCUAACGCAUUAAGCACUCCGCCUGGGGAGUACGGUCGCAAGACUGAAACUCAAAGGAAUUGACGGGGGCCCGCACAAGCGGUGGAGCAUGUGGUUUAAUUCGAAGCAACGCGAAGAACCUUACCAGGUCUUGACAUCCUCUGACAAUCCUAGAGAUAGGACGUCCCCUUCGGGGGCAGAGUGACAGGUGGUGCAUGGUUGUCGUCAGCUCGUGUCGUGAGAUGUUGGGUUAAGUCCCGCAACGAGCGCAACCCUUGAUCUUAGUUGCCAGCAUUCAGUUGGGCACUCUAAGGUGACUGCCGGUGACAAACCGGAGGAAGGUGGGGAUGACGUCAAAUCAUCAUGCCCCUUAUGACCUGGGCUACACACGUGCUACAACGAAAAAAAAAAAGGGCAGCGAAACCGCGAGGUUAAGCCAAUCCCACAAAUCUGUUCUCAGUUCGGAUCGCAGUCUGCAACUCGACUGCGUGAAGCUGGAAUCGCUAGUAAUCGCGGAUCAGCAUGCCGCGGGUGAAAUACGUUCCCGGGCCUUGUA
rnacentral:rRNA from 2 species